UACGUAGGGUGCGAGCGUUGUCCGGAAUUACUGGGCGUAAAGAGCUCGUAGGUGGUUUGUCGCGUUGUCCGUGAAAACUCACAACUCAAUUGUGGGCGUGCGGGCGAUACGGGGCAGACUGGAGUACUGCAGGGGAGACUGGAAUUCCUGGUGUAGCGGUGGAAUGCGCAGAGUAUCAGGAGGAACACCGGUGGCGAAGGCGGGUCUCGUGG
rnacentral:rRNA from 1 species